UACGAAGGGGGCUAGCGUUGUUCGGAAUUACUGGGCGUAAAGGGCGCGUAGGCGGCCCUCCAAGUCAGAUGUGAAAGCCCCGGGCUUAACCUGGGAAUUGCAUUUGAGACUGUGGGGCUUGAGUUUCGGAGAGGUGGGUGGAAUUCCCAGUGUAGAGGUGAAAUUCGUAGAUAUUGGGAAGAACACCGGUGGCGAAGGCGGCCCACUGGACGAACACUGACGCUGAGGCGCG
rnacentral:rRNA from 1 species